rnacentral:rRNA from 1 species
GGACUACCCGGGUAUCUAAUCCUGUUUGCUCCCCACGCUUUCGCGCAUCAGCGUCAGUAACGGGCCAGUGUGUCGCCUUCGCCACUGGUGUUCUUCCGAAUAUCUACGAAUUUCACCUCUACACUCGGAGUUCCACACACCUCUCCCGUACUCAAGACAGCCAGUAUCGAAGGCAGUUCCAGGGUUGAGCCCUGGGCUUUCACCCCCGACUAAACUGUCCGCCUACGCGCCCUUUACGCCCAGUAAUUCCGAGCAACGCUAGCCCCCUUCGUAUUACCGCGGCUGCUGGCAC